GACGGAGGAUGCAAGCGUUAUCCGGAAUGAUUGGGCGUAAAGCGUCCGCAGGUGGCAGUUCAAGUCUGCUGUCAAAGACCGGGGCUUAACUUCGGAAAGGCAGUGGAAACUGAACAGCUAGAGUAUGGUAGGGGCAGAGGGAAUUCCUGGUGUAGCGGUGAAAUGCGUAGAUAUCUGGAGGAACACCGGUGGCGAAGGCGGCAUCCUGGACCGGUAUUGACGCUGAGGCGCGAAAGCUAGGGGGAGCAAACGGG
rnacentral:rRNA from 1 species